rnacentral:pre_miRNA from 1 species
ACAACAACAUUCGGACCGUCGGUCUACCGAGCAAUAUCACCCGCUCGGUGGAAGAUCUUCCUUUCGUCGUUAAGC